GAUGAACGCUGGCGGCGUGCCUAAUACAUGCAAGUCGAGCGAACGGACGAGAAGCUUGCUUCUCUGAUGUUAGCGGCGGACGGGUGAGUAACACGUGGAUAACCUACCUAUAAGACUGGGAUAACUUCGGGAAACCGGAGCUAAUACCGGAUAAUAUUUUGAACCGCAUGGUUCAAAAGUGAAAGACGGUCUUGCUGCCACUUAUAGAUGGAUCCGCGCUGCAUUAGCUAGUUGGUAAGGUAACGGCUUACCAAGGCAACGAUGCAUAGCCGACCUGAGAGGGUGAUCGGCCACACUGGAACUGAGACACGGUCCAGACUCCUACGGGAGGCAGCAGUAGGGAAUCUUCCGCAAUGGGCGAAAGCCUGACGGAGCAACGCCGCGUGAGUGAUGAAGGUCUUCGGGUCGUAAAACUCUGUUAUUAGGGAAGAACAUAUGUGUAAGUAACUGUGCACAUCUUGACGGUACCUAAUCAGAAAGCCACGGCUAACUACGUG
rnacentral:rRNA from 1 species